GAUUAAGUGGCUGAAGUUUAGGCGCUAGAUUGUAAAUCUAUUUAUAAGAAAUAUUCUUCUUUAUCA
rnacentral:tRNA from 1 species